rnacentral:lncRNA from 1 species
UCCCUCGUUUUUGCUGGUUUCUCCCCUCUUUUUUGCUUUGUUCUUGGUUGUGGGAGCUUAGGAUAUUCUGUUUCUUCAAUAAGACUAACAAGUUAGAGAUAUCUUGUGUUUUUUCCCUCUAUUUUCUCAUGCUCAACAUUUACCAUUUUUCUCAAUUAAUAGGGGAAGUCUACAUUAAUUAGUGCACUCUCAGAUAGUAAUCUGUAUAGUGAUGCAAGGUAUAUUUAUUCUUUAAAACAGUUUUUCCUCUAAGUUAAAUCCUUUGUUAAAAGUAAAAUGAUGGAUGUUUUUACCUAAUUGGAGGCAAUGGCUUUGUGCAGAUUGUUUACAACAUUGGAUGGUUGAUUAAAAAGUGUUGUUCUUCCUUUAGGGUGAGAUUGCUUGCUGUCAUUCACUGUUAUUAUUGUUGUUAUUUUAUUGCUUUUCUUUUGAGUAGUCUGGUUCUAAAUGAUAUACUAACCUUAUCCCAUAGGCAGCAACAUUUUAUCUUUUGAUCUUUGGACCUAUCAUUUUUCAUGCUUUACACACUAUUUAGUAAUAUUAUUACUAACUAUAAUUUUAAGUCAUACACAAUGAAAUUACCUAAACAUCUAAACUCAAAAACAUUAUAGCUUAAAGCUUGUAGGGCAUAAACCGAAUUUCCAAGGCUUUUAACACUUGCUUAAGCAAAAAAAAAAAACACACAAACAAAUGCAUGUAAUUAUUCCCGAUAAGGAUCAAAUUAUACAGUAGAUUCAAAGUUAGAACAAAAAGAAAGUGAAAGGAACUCGAAAAUAGUACCUCAAAGGAACUAGGAUAGGAGUCAAAUGGAGUCUCCCCUGCUUCAAUAGCAUCAGUCCCCAUUCAAUAUAUAUAUCCCUGACUAUAUAUAAACAAAGAACACAAGUCAAGUAAUUAAACAGAUAAAAAACUGCAAACAAGCUAUAAAUGAUAAAAAUUGCAAAUCACUCAAUCUAGGAAAAAGGAGAUUUAAUUCAUUGACCUGAAGUCCAACUGUCUUCUCAAAGGUAGUAAUCUUAUGCACAAAUCCAAAAGCUGAAAAUACAUACAUUAUUAACUCAUUUAGAAAGAUGAAUGGAAAAUAAAUCAAGUAAAAAGACUCCAAAAAGUCAUUACAACCUAUAAUUUCCACUAAUAAAUCUGCCAGGAAAUAAGGAAUGGAGAUAACUUCAACAUACCAGGUCUUAAGCAUCGAGACAAAAAUAAUAGAAUAUAUUAACAGAAUACACCUUAACAAUUGCAGUGAUGCAUUUCAGAUUUUCUAAUGAUGUUAACAAAAAUUAUAGAACAUGUAAAAUCUAUGAUUUUGCCGAAGUACUAGAAUGAAGUAAAGCAUAAAAAGAAAAAGAUGAAAAAAUUGACCUAUAUAUGCUAAGAAUCCUCAAAUCUUAAAAAAAAAAAAAACUACACUUCAAGCUGCUCAAAUUUCAAUUUUAUCAAGUAUUAUGUGAUAAAUAACUGUGCCAUCUUCUGAGUAAAAAUAAGAUACAAUCACUAUUCUUUUAAGGGUAAAACAUAAAGCUUUAGCUGCUUCAAGUAAAUUGAAGCGAAGUAAACUACAAAUGCAGGAACUAUGAAGAUUAUACUUUGUAGAUUACAUUGUUCCCUAAGAAAAAUAAGUACUGUUCACUAGGAGAAUAGUAUUAAUGAAAAUUACUAGCUUACUUCCCAAAAGCAGAUAUAGUUGUCUAGAUCUUGGAGAAAAACAUUUAGAUAGUAACAAUUAGUCCCUUAAACCAUUGCUACGUGAUUUCACAACUACAUUAACAACUACAAAUAGUGUUUAAUUCCAAAAUAGAAAGAGAUAAGUACAACUGCAUGAGCACAGAAGGAACAGAGGGGUUUUCAUAUUCACAGGCCAUUGUUGAUUAGCCACUCAUUCAAUCUUGAAUAACAGGCAUCAAACUCCCUUUUAAAAGUUAACAUACCUUUGAAAUUCAAAGGUAGAAUACGUAGAAGCACCGCUCUAACCUCUGAUCGGAACUUUGAUUAGUAGAGGUAGAUUGGGACUUUGAUCGGUGGAAGAGGGGAAAUGGGAAUGGGAAUGGGAAAUGGGAGGAGCGCACGGGGUUUGGGACUUUGAUCGGUGGAAGAAGGGAAAUGGGAAUGGGGAAAUUACACUGUAUUAGUGUAUUUUAAAAAUAAAAAAAUAUAUGUAGUGUAUUUUAAAAAUAAAAAAAUAUAUGUAUUGUAUUUUAAAAAUAAAAAAUAUAUGUAAUGUAUUUUAAAAAUAAAAAAAAAUAUGUAGUGUAUUUUAAAAAUAAAAAAAUAUAGGUAGUGUAUUUUAAAAAUAAAAAAUAUAUAUGUAGUGUAUUUUUUAAAAAUAAAAAAUAUAGUUUAUAUUCGGUUUAUUCGAAUUAUUUGAAGCAUGAAGAUGCAAUAUUUUUCUUGAAAGAUACUAAUUUUGAACUUAAAUCAUGAUAAUAAAAAAAAUUAUGGGAUUUGUGAAACAAAUUAGGGAAUUACCUUUAUUGUGAAUAUAUAGAACAACCCCAAAUGUGCAGAGAACUUGAACCAGUUGAAUCAAAGACUCUAUUUUUAAGCAAAAAAAAAAAAAAAAAACACAACCAAAUUUAAACGAAAAAAAUUACAAAGAAGAGAAUUUCAAGCCAAAAAAAGCAAAAUUCUUGAAGCUCUACCAUAGAUGACUAAAGUGAAAAGAAAACAAUAGUUCAAGUAAAGCUUUAAAGAUGAACAAAGAAAACAAAAGUUUAAGUAAAGCUUUAAAUAUGAACAAAUCGAUUGCAUAAUCUUUGUAAUACCCAUUUUUGCCCGGCCCAUAAACCAAUCAUAAACCCAAUAAAAAAUAGUCCAAUUACAAUGGCCAAAUUCGGAUUGAAGCCCAAUCACUAAAUCCAAUUACAAUACCCACAUAACCCAAUAUCCAGAAAACCCAAUCAGCCCAAGUCACCUAACCCUAACCCAACACAAAAUAUUUUUCAGCCAACAGAAACCCUAGCAUCAGCCCUCCUUCCAGCGCCGCAGCCACCAGGGCCUCCCCCGUGCGUGAUGCGCCUCUGCGCGCGUGCAUCUCCUACAGCUAGCCGUACCUGCACACAAACAAACAGCAGAGAGCAAAGAAACAAAAAGGACGCAGCAAAAAGAAGGAUAACAGUAUAGAUUUUGAUAUUUUUCUUUUUCGGUUAUUUAGGCUAUAUAAAAGCCAAACAGAAAUUUGUAAAAAGGGGGGAACGCAUACUGUAUCAGGCACGAAAUCAAUACAAAAAGAAAUAGAUUUUCUUUUUUCUUCUUUCUUCUUUCUCUUUUUCAUUGUGUUCUUUUUCCGAUUGAUAUUUCUUUCUUUUUCUGUUUUUUUUAUCAAAUAUACAUAUAUAUAAGGAUAGAUAUAAAAUAAAAAGCGGGAAAUUACCUUUUAGCAACGCCAUUGGGUCUUCGCUCCCUCCAUCGCCGUCGGAGUCUGGGCGGAGAUUAAUCGGUGUUUAGACGGCCAAGUUUUUAAAUGGAGAGCGGCUAGGGUUUUCUUUGAUUCAAAAUGGCUGAAGCAUUUUCCUUUUUUUAUUUAUAAGGGCCAUGUAAAAUGACACCGUUUGAGG